UACGUAGGGUGCGAGCGUUGUCCGGAAUUAUUGGGCGUAAAGAGCUUGUAGGCGGUUUGUCGCGUCUGCUGUGAAAAUCCGGGGCUCAACUCCGGACUUGCAGUGGGUACGGGCAGGCUAGAGUGUGGUAGGGGAGACUGGAAUUCCUGGUGUAGCGGUGGAAUGCGCAGAUAUCAGGAGGAACACCGGUGGCGAAGGCGGAUCUCUGGGCCAUUACUGACGCUGAGGAGCGAAAGCGUGGGGAGCGAACAGG
rnacentral:rRNA from 1 species